rnacentral:tRNA from 1 species
GGGCCGGUAGCUCAGUUGGCAGAGCAGCGGACUUUUAAUCCGACGGUCGUGGGUUCGAUUCCCACUCGGCCCA